AGACAAGGUUCAUAUUUGUAUGGGUUACUUAUUCUCUCUUUGUUGACUAAGUCAAUAAUCAGAAUCAGCAGGUUUGGAGUCAGAUUGGCAGGGAUAAGCAGCCUAGCUCAGGAGAAGUGGGUAUAAAAGCCCCAGGCUGGGAGCAGCCAUCACAGAAGUCCACUCGUUCUUGGCAGGAUGGCUUCUCAUCGUCUGCUCCUCCUCUGCCUCGCUGGACUGGUAUUUGUGUCUGAGGCUGGUCCUACGGGCGUUGAUGAAUCCAAGUGUCCUCUGAUGGUCAAAGUUCUAGAUGCCGUCCGAGGCAGUCCUGCCGUCAACGUGGCUGUGAACGUGUUCAAAAAGGCUGCUGAUGAGACCUGGGCGCCAUUUGCCUCUGGGAAAACCAGUGAGUCUGGAGAGCUGCAUGGGCUCACAACUGAGAAGGAAUUUGUAGAAGGGAUAUACAAAGUGGAAAUAGACACCAAAUCUUACUGGAAGUCACUUGGCAUCUCCCCAUUCCAUGAGCAUGCAGAGGUGGUAUUCACAGCCAACGACUCCGGCCCCCGCCACUACACCAUCGCCGCCCUGCUGAGCCCCUACUCCUAUUCCACCACGGCUGUCGUCACCAAUCCCAAGGAAUGAGGGACUUCUCCAGAGGAUCUGAAGGACGAGGGAUGGGAUUUCAUGUAACCAAGAGUAUUCCAUUUUUACUAAAGCAGUGUUUUCACCUCAUAAGCUAUGUUAGGAGUCCAGGCAGAGACAAUAAAACAAUUACCUCUUCCAAAGGCUCUCUUUUGCCAC